rnacentral:rRNA from 1 species
GACGAACGCUGGCGGCGUGCCUAAUACAUGCAAGUCGAACGGAAAGGCCCUGCUCUUGUGGCGUGCUCGAGUGGCGAACGGGUGAGUAACACGUGAGUAACCUGUCCUUGACUUUCGGAUAACUCCAGGAAACUGGGGCUCAUACCCGAUAUGAUCUCCUGCUGCAUGUUGUGCGUUGGAAAGUUUCGGCGGUUGGGGAUGGACUCGCGGCUUACCCGCUUGUUGGUGGGGUAGUUGCUUUCCAAGUCUUUGACGGAUAGGCUGCCUGAGAGGGUGGCCGGCGACAAUGGGACUAAGAUACGGCGCAGAAGGCAACGGGAAGCAGCAGGGGAGAGUAUGACACAGUGGGCGGAAGUCAGAUACAGAGACGCCGCGAGCGGGAUAACGGGCUACGAGUGGUAAACAGAUUUCGAAUGUAAUGAGGAGUGAGUGACGGUAAUGGAUAAAGAAGCACCGGCUAACUACGUG